rnacentral:rRNA from 1 species
UACGUAGGGGGCAAGCGUUGUCCGGAAUCAUUGGGCGUAAAGAGCGCGUAGGCGGUCCGGUAAGUCCGCUGUAAAAGUCAGGGGCUCAACCCUUGAAAGCCGGUGGAUACUGCCGGGCUAGAGUCCGGAAGAGGCGAGUGGAAUUCCUGGUGUAGCGGUGAAAUGCGCAGAUAUCAGGAGGAACACCGACGGCGAAGGCAGCUCGCUGGGACGGUACUGACGCUGAGGCACGAAAGCGUGGGGAGCAAACAGG